rnacentral:other from 15 species
GUUCACUGCCGAACAGGCAGCUUAGAAA